rnacentral:rRNA from 1 species
UACGAAGGGUGCAAGCGUUACUCGGAAUUACUGGGCGUAAAGCGUGCGUAGGUGGUUGUUUAAGUCUGUUGUGAAAGCCCUGGGCUCAACCUGGGAAUUGCAGUGGAUACUGGGCGACUAGAGUGUGGUAGAGGGUAGUGGAAUUCCCGGUGUAGCAGUGAAAUGCGUAGAGAUCGGGAGGAACAUCCAUGGCGAAGGCAGCUACCUGGACCAACACUGACACUGAGGCACGAAAGCGUGGGGAUCAAACAGG